rnacentral:rRNA from 1 species
GCCCUUAGAGUUUGAUCAUGGCUCAGGACGAACGCUGGCGGCGUGCUUAACACAUGCAAGUCGAACGAAGCAGCCGGGUUAGCUUGCUAACCUGGUUGACUUAGUGGCGGACGGGUGAGUAACACGUGGGUAACCUACCUGAAAGACCGGGAUAACAGCUCGAAAGGGCUGCUAAUACCGGAUAAAGUAAGAGAUUGCUAUGAUUUCUUACCAAAGGCGUUAUGUAGUGCUUUCAGAUGGGCCCGCGGCUCAUUAGUUAGUUGGUGGGGUAAAGGCCUACCAAGGCGAUGAUGGGUAGCCGGUCUGAGAGGAUGGUCGGCCACACUGGGACUGAGAACGGCCCAGACUCCUACGGGAGGCAGCAGUGGGGAAUAUUACGCAAUGGGGGCAACCCUGACGCAGCGACGCCGCGUGAGUGAAGAAGGCCUUCGGGUUGUAAAGCUCUGUCUGGGGGGAAGAAGGAGACGGUACCCCCGGAGGAAGCCCCGGCUAACUACGUGCCAGCAGCCGCGGUAAGACGUGGGGGGCGAGCGUUGUCCGGAAUUACUGGGCGUAAAGGGCGUGUAGGCGGCCUAUCAAGUCGAUGGUGAAAGCCCUCGGCUCAACCGAGGAAUUGCCAUUGAAACUGGUGGGCUUGAGUACAGGAGAGGAGAGCGGAAUUCCCGGUGUAGCGGUGAAAUGCGUAGAUAUCGGGAAGAACACCAGUGGCGAAGGCGGCUCUCUGGCCUGUUACUGACGCUGAGGCGCGAAAGCUAGGGGAGCGAACAGGAUUAGAUACCCUGGUAGUCCUAGCCGUAAACGCUGGGUACUAGGUGUAGGCAUC